AAAAGGGGCUUCUGCAGUGAGUGGUACUCGUGGGGCCGCGAGCCUGCUGUACGUGCGGGGUGACAUCAAGAGGCUUUGGAAGUGUAAUUUUUGGUGUCUGGGCAGCUGGCGGUUGUCGGUCCUGGUGCCCAU